CAUCAGUGUGCACUCAUGCGAGCCAAAGAGGAGCGCUGCACUCGGACUCAUCUGCCUCAGCGUCGGCAGACCUGAACACUCAGACUGAGCAGACGACUCCACGGAGCGAUCUACCAGGCAACAGGCUCCAGACGCUUUUCUUUUGAAGCUUUCGACGGCACAGAGUGUUUAGAGACGAAAUGGCGAAGACAGACAAAUGCUUAGUCACUGUAUCACCUGUUUAACUUUGAGUUAUGUGGUAAAUCAUAUGCACAUUAUUCUCAUGCAUCACCAUUUCAUGAACGGAAAGAUGCACUGUAUGCCAUGAGAAUCCAAAUAUGUGUGAAAACGAAUCAGUUCAUGGAGAUGUUUGAAUAAAAGAGAGGUAUGUUCAUAGGGCUGCUGAUUCAAAAGGCCUAUCUCUUUGAAGGCUUUUCACUCUUUUUAUUUGUAGGCUGGUAGCUGAGUCACUUCCUAUCUCAGCCACAUAUUGUCAUUUUCAGGACCAGGUAAGGCUGCUCUGAUUCCAUCAUUUGGUCCAUUCUCUGCUUAUUCUUCUCUUUCAUUUUGACUCAAUUUGCAUCCAGGGUCUUACAGAGGUUAAAAUUAAGUCAAACUGCACGAGAACAUGUUAAAUGUGAGGUGUGAGUGUCUUAUCAUAUUACAUGCAUUCACGUGUGUGCCUUGUGCAGCAGCAGAAUGAUCAGUUUGCACUUGAACAAAGACUAAAGGGACGACCAGUCUGAACAUCUGUAAACUUUUUAGGUCUAUGCCUCAUUCCUCCCGUGCAGUGAAAUUGCUUUGUUUAGCCUUGAUGAGCGUCCUCUCUCUGCCAACGUGUGGGAUCACCUGUCUCUUCAGUUUUACAAGUGAAAGUCAGACUCUGACUCAUGCAGAGGGGAAGGGAAUAGCCCAAUAAAAUAUGCAGACCCUCCCAUGUUCUUGUGUGCCCUCUGAAUCUUCCGGGUAAUUUAUGUGUGAUAAGGCAAGAUUUCUUUAUUGCUACUUCUCAAUACAAGUAAAAUAGAGUAAAAUUCUUUGGUUUUGGCUCCUCUACGUUGCAGCAGUAGUAACACUAAAAUUAACAAGAAGGCAUUUAAAUGGUGUUUAAAAGUACAACAAAAUACAAGCAUUGGAAUAUAAAUAAUAAACAUGCUGUGAAGUUAAAUGUGCAAAGUGCUGCCUGUGUCUGGAUGUGCAAAUGUUUAUAUGUGUGUGCCAUUGUUGUGUGAGUCACAGACAGACAGGCAACAGGCCUCUAGUGUCCUUCUGUUCAUAAGCCUGGCUGUCUGAUGGGAAAAGUUAUUCCAGAGUCUGCUGGUUCGGGCCUCGAGGCUGCGGAACCGCUUGCCAGACUGAAGCAGUCCAAACAGUCCGUGGUUGGGCCGGCUGAGGUCUCUGAUAUGAUCAGGAUCCUCCAGAAUGUAUCAACCAUGUAUAAUAAAGGUGACUGAGGUGCCA